rnacentral:rRNA from 1 species
AUUAAGGUCCUCUGGAUUGUAAACUUCUUUUAUCUGGGACGAAAAAAGGUCUUUCUAGAUCACUUGACGGUACCAGAUGAAUAAGCACCGGCUAACUCCGUGCCAGCAGCCGCGGUAAUACGGAGGGUGCAAGCGUUAUCCGGAUUCACUGGGUUUAAAGGGUGCGUAGGCGGGUAGGUAAGUCAGUGGUGAAAUCCUGGAGCUCAACUCCAGAACUGCCAUUGAUACUAUCUAUCUUGAAUAUUGUGGAGGUAAGCGGAAUAUGUCAUGUAGCGGUGAAAUGCUUAGAUAUGACAUAGAACACCCAUUGCGAAGGCAGCUUACUACGCAUAUAUUGACGC